CUGUUCUGAAAUCGAUAGAAAAGGCUGCUGUUAACGGCUUUUUCUUUUAUUGCGGAGAUGCGGCUGUACGAAG
rnacentral:sRNA from 1 species